rnacentral:lncRNA from 1 species
AAUCCUCUCUCUGGAGUAACUGCACCUUGAGCAGAGCCAUUGAGGAGGAAGGAGUAUGAAACUGUGGUGAUACAUUGUAAAAUCCAGCUUAUCCAAGUUUGGUGAAACCCCAUCUCUUGCAUAACCAGUUUGAUAAAGUCCCACUCAAUUCUGUCAUAGGCUUUACUCAUGUUAGUUUUGACAGCCAUAAAGCAUCGUUUCUCUGCUCCUAAGGAUUUGAGGUAAUGAAGAGCUUCAUGUGUGAUUAGUACAUUGUCAUUACUCGCUCUUUUUGGAACAAAAGCUGACUGAUUUUCAGAAAUUAUCUCUUGCAGGAUUGGUUGCAGACGCCUAGACAGCAGCUUUGAAAUGAUUUUAUAGAAAACUGUGCAUAAAGCUAUAGGUCUGUAGUCUACCAUCCUUUUCAGGCUUUGGAUUUUAGGAAUCAGUGUGAUAUGUGUUUUGUUGAUUGUUGGCUGAAGGGUAGAUGAAGAAAAGAAGGAUUGGAUCUCCAAAACAAUGUUAGGACCCACAGUCAUCCAAUUUGAUUGGAAAAAACUCGCCGAAAACCCAUCCGGACCGGGUGCUUUGUCAGCAUGGAUAGAAAAACAAGCAGAUUUUAUUUCCUCUGCUGAAGGCAAUUAAAU